AUUGAACGCUGGCGGCAUGCUUUACACAUGCAAGUCGAACGGUAACAGGCCGCAAGGUGCUGACGAGUGGCGAACGGGUGAGUAAUGCAUCGGAACGUGCCCAGUCGUGGGGGAUAACUACUCGAAAGAGUAGCUAAUACCGCAUACGAUCUAUGGAUGAAAGCGGGGGACCGUAAGGCCUCGCGCGAUUGGAGCGGCCGAUGUCAGAUUAGGUAGUUGGUGGGGUAAAGGCUCACCAAGCCAACGAUCUGUAGCUGGUCUGAGAGGACGACCAGCCACACUGGGAAUGAGACCCGGCCCAGACUCCUACGGGAAGCAGCAGUGGGGAAAUUUGGACAAUGGGCGCAAGCCUGAUCCAGCAAUGCCGCGUGCAGGAAGAAGGCCUUCGGGUUGUAAACUGCUUUUGUACGGAACGAAACGGCUCUGGUUAAUACCCGGGGCUAAUGACGGUACCGUAAGAAUAAGCACCGGCUAACUACGUG
rnacentral:rRNA from 1 species